rnacentral:rRNA from 1 species
GAUGAACGCUGGCGGCGUGCCUAAUACAUGCAAGUCGAGCGAACGGACGAGAAGCUUGCUUCUCUGAUGUUAGCGGCGGACGGGUGAGUAACACGUGGAUAACCUACCUAUAAGACUGGGAUAACUUCGGGAAACCGGAGCUAAUACCGGAUAAUAUUUUGAACCGCAUGGUUCAAAAUUGAAAGACGGUCUUGCUGUCACUUAUAGAUGGAUCCGCGCUGCAUUAGCUAGUUGGUAAGGUAACGGCUUACCAAGGCAACGAUGCAUAGCCGACCUGAGAGGGUGAUCGACCAAACUGGACCUGAGAAACGGCCCAGACUCCUACGGGAGGCAGCAGUAGGGACUCUUCCGCAAUGGGCGAAAGCCUGACGGAGCAACGCCGCGUGAGUGAUGAAGGUCUUCGAACCGUAAAACUCUGUUAUUAGGGAAGAACAUAUGUGUAAGUAACUGUGCACAUCUUGACGGUACCUAAUCAGAAAGCCACGGCUAACUACGUG